UCAAAUGGUAUUCAUUAGGCAUGCAAAUUGAGAGAUUUAAAUGCACAAUUAAUCAUGUAAACUUCUAUCACUAAGGACUAACUAUUAAGUAAAAGCAUGAUUAUUUUUAGAGAUUUUUCCAGGACCCUACACUGAGCAACUUGUAACUUCAUCACCAUUUUGUCGUGUUGAAGUUGAGCUACUUGUCUUAUACUAGUGCACAAAGAUAACGUACACUGCUUAUUCCAAGUGUCCUACUAUAUUCUUAAUUUAAUCUUUGUAUAUCUCAUACCUUAGCAAUAAAUUCUGGGGAGUUAAUCCUCAUUCAUCUUCCACUACAAAAUGUUUUCUUUUUACUUAUUAAAAAACAAAAUCCCACACCUUUAUUAUUU